CCAAAAAUAAAGCACCUGACAGAUGGAAAUCACGUGGGAUUCUAUACAAAAAACUACACAAGUUUCACUGUACUUGCGUUCACUUCUGCUUUAGUAGAUGUGGCUGCAUUAUCUGGAGGACACAAUCCUGGAUUUGCAAACAUUUUUACCCCUCCAGAUUGUUUAUGAAAACAGAUGAGACUUCAGCACCCUCCGCGCUCCCGGGAUUUUAGCUUCUGACCACCUGACCACAUACAUAGUUUGAUGCUUCUGAAAACUUACCCCACACAUCUGCAGGCAGGAGACCUCUCAUUGGAUCCUGCUAAAACAACCCAUUUCCUCUCCCCAGCUGCACCUCUCUCCUCGUCUCUCCAUCUGAGGGGUUAUUUCAGAGUCCUCUGUUUCAAGUUCAACCCAACCAGUGAGAAUGUUACUGCUGCAGGUUCUUAUUGUGACUUCAACAUGGUCUUAUGGAUCUUCACAAAUAAAGCUGACACAAACUCCACUGUCUGUCACCAGAGCGGUAACUAAAAGUGCAUAUAUGUGGUGUAAAAUUUCUGGCGGAAGUUUUAAUUUUAACGAUGAUUAUAUACACUGGUAUCGACAGAGCCCCGGGGCAGCUCCAAAGAGGAUUCUGUAUAUUAGAGGAGAAUUAGUUUCUACAGAUGAAGGCUUUGACAGCAAAAAGUUUAAAGCUGAUAAUUAUGUUUCUGCAUCCACCUCAAAGCUCACAGUACACAACGUAGCCAGUGAGGAUGCUGCAACCUAUUAUUGUGCCACCUGGGAUCGCACAGUACUAGAAAGCCAUAGACAACCUGUACAAAAACCCACUCUGCAUUCUGAGCCAAGUAUAUGA